GUGCUUGCUUUGGCAGCACAUAUACUAAAAUUGGAAUGAAACAGAGAAAAUUAGCAUGGCCCCUGCACAAGGAUGACAUGCAAAUUCAUGAAGUGUUUAUUUUU
ensembl:snRNA U6 U6 spliceosomal RNA